ACGCUGGCGGCAGGCCUAACACAUGCAAGUCGAGCGGUAGAGAGAAGCUUGCUUCUCUUGAGAGCGGCGGACGGGUGAGUAAUGCCUAGGAAUCUGCCUGGUAGUGGGGGAUAACGUUCGGAAACGGACGCUAAUACCGCAUACGUCCUACGGGAGAAAGCAGGGGACCUUCGGGCCUUGCGCUAUCAGAUGAGCCUAGGUCGGAUUAGCUAGUUGGUGGGGUAAUGGCUCACCAAGGCGACGAUCCGUAACUGGUCUGAGAGGAUGAUCAGUCGCACUGGAACUGAGACACGGUCCAGACUCCUACGGGAGGCAGCAGUGGGGAAUAUUGGACAAUGGGCGAAAGCCUGAUCCAGCCAUGCCGCGUGUGUGAAGAAGGUCUUCGGAUUGUAAAGCACUUUAAGUUGGGAGGAAGGGUUGUAGAUUAAUACUCUGCAAUUUUGACGUUACCGACAGAAUAAGCACCGGCUAACUCUGUGCCAGCAGCCGCGGUAAUACAGAGGGUGCAAGCGUUAAUCGGAAUUACUGGGCGUAAAGCGCGCGUAGGUGGUUUGUUAAGUUGGAUGUGAAAUCCCCGGGCUCAACCUGGGAACUGCAUUCAAAACUGACUGACUAGAGUAUGGUAGAGGGUGGUGGAAUCUCCUGUGUAGCGGUGAAAUGCGUAGAUAUAGGAAGGAACACCAGUGGCGAAGGCGACCACCUGGACUAAUACUGACACUGAGGUGCGAAAGCGUGGGGAGCAAACAGGAUUAGAUACCCUGGUAGUCC
rnacentral:rRNA from 1 species